rnacentral:ribozyme from 14 species
AAAGAAAGAAACAAACAAAUGUUCAAGGUUUAAUAUAUGUUUUAUUUUUUAUUUUUUUUUUUAUAAAUUGGCACUACAGUAGGAGGAAGAAGAAAUAAAU